rnacentral:siRNA from 1 species
CAUACAACUCGGUGAUGCGAAUA